GGAGGCGCCGCGGUGGUACGUGACGUAGGCGGAUCGGUAGACGCCACUUCUUCGGCAGGGAGACGAUAGGUUUUGCCGCGUGGCGGAAGCGACGGGUCCGAAGGCGGGCCCGAUUCAUUCGACUCUCCGGCACAAUUUACCAGAAUCGAACGGUAGAAGAUGGAGACGAAGUACAACAUGAAGAGUCCGGCUGUUAAAAGAUUAAUGAAGGAAGCAAUGGAAUUGAGAAAUCCUACAGAAGAAUAUUAUGCACAACCACUUGAAGAAAAUCUCUUUGAAUGGCAUUUCACGGUUAGGGGUCCACCCGAAACUGACUUUGACAGUGGUCUUUAUCAUGGAAGAAUUGUACUACCUCCCGAAUAUCCCAUGAAACCACCGAGUAUAAUUCUUCUGACUCCAAAUGGAAGAUUUGAAAUUCAAAAAAAAAUCUGCCUUAGUAUAUCUGGCCAUCAUCCUGAAUCAUGGCAACCAUCUUGGUCCAUACGCACGGCCUUACUUGCAAUAAUUGGUUUUAUGCCCACACAUGGGAAUGGAGCCAUUGGUUCUCUGGACUACACUCCUGCGGAAAGGAAGAUAUUAGCUAAACAUUCGCAUUCUUGGUCGUGCAGUCACUGCGGGCCCAUCGCGGGACUGCUGUUGGAGAGGUCUCGGGGACCGGAAACUGCUGCCACUUCCAAAGAAGCUCGCGAGCUGGCCACGCAGAUAUCUUUUAAGGAAGAGAGACUACGCGAGAAGUGGUUACGAGACGAAUGAUAACCGACCGAGAAUGCCGGUCGGCCUUUGGAUUUCUCCCGCAAUGUUAUACAACGGUCACGUCGUUGUCGUCGUACGAGUUGUUUCGUGUAAAUCAUUGCCCAGAAAUUGCAUAUCUAAUAAAAGUGAAUGAUUUUGGCUAAAUACCACAAGGUACUGGACUAGAACCUCGAUAGAAGAACCAGAAGAAAAUGGGAAAAUUGCUGUUUAGGAUAGCAUAGUGCUGUCCUUCCACCAUCCAGUUCAGCCACCGACAAUUUAUUAUAAAUAUAGAAAAUUUUUUUAACAAGAAGGAAUACUAUGCGAAGACAAGAAGUUUAUUCAGUGCAGACGAAGCUCGCACAAUAUUUUGAUUUACAAUAAACUUAAAACUGCAUGCACAUCUUAUUAUAUUAACAGAUUUCUAAUAUGUAAUGCGCUUCGUAAAUUAUGAAACAGGCGAAAGCAGUUUGUUUCCGUAUUAGAUAUAGAUAUGCCCCAUUUCUUUUUUGAUAAUUAUUGAUAUAAUUAUUUUUAUAACGAAACGUGAAGCGUUUGUUAAGAUCCAUUUCCUUUUUUUUAGGUGAGAAAAAUAUAAAAUCACGUCAAGGAUUACGCUGCAGUGUAUGUUACAACGUAUUUCCCACAAAAUACAAGUUGGUGUGUCACACCAGGGUUCACACGGGAGAAAAGCCAUUUCAGUGCGAGAUCUGCGGCAAUAAAUUCGGUCAGAAAGCGUAUUUAGUCAACCACCAGAGAGUUCACACGGGACUGAAGCCCUUCGAGUGUCGAGACUGCGGCCAGAAAUUCAGAGAUUCUCCCUCCCUGAGAAAGCAUCACCGCACUCACACCGGCGAGAAACCCUUCGAGUGCUCUGUCUGCUCGGCCAAGUUCAGUCGCAAGGAAAGCCUGAAGAUUCACUUACGAAGUCACACGGGCGACAGACCCUUCGUCUGUAACGUGUGCGGAAUGGCGUUUAUGAGCGGGUCUCACAGGAGAAGACACGAAUUGCGGCACGUGAAAAAAGAAAAGUGAAUUCCGAAAGAUCCGAAUUAAAUACUGAAUUAAAAUUUUAUAAUGUUCAUAUUCCUCUGUGUUAAGAAUUUCGAAAUAUUCUCCGCAUUGUAACAGACUUGACUUUGAAGAAUACCAAUGUAAGUACACGGAAAAUAAGGUAAUACGUAAUAAAUAUUUCCCCUUUUAU